AUCAUAUAAUGUCAUGUCGUUUUCAAGUGAAUUUUCCCGUGAACAAGUGAAAGUACAAAAACCAUCCCCAACUUAUUUCAAACGAACAUGUUUACCCCCUGAAAAAAAUUAUUUUUUCAGAUUGACAAACACUUUAUAAUUUAUAUCCAGACCAAAUUAACGAUCGGGAGUUGCGGACACAGAGAAUAAAGUCAUCAGAUCCAACUGCUCCAGUUAAGAAGACGACGAUCAUGAUGUCAGUGUCACGCCUCUUCUGAUCUCAGAAUUUUGUUCGUUUUUGGAUUUUUCAUGGAACAAAAAAGUAUUUGCAGUGAGGGAGACAGGAUCAGAGUAGGUGAAGAAUGUCGGGGCGAUCGGAAUGAUUGGUCGGCCGGUGAUAUUGCCAAUACGAGUAGCUGCCUCUGCCACCGCGAGAAUCUCAUUAUCCGUCGUCGUCCCCGAUCGGUGAUGCAUCGUUUUCAUCCACAAAAGAGAUACAGUGUUUUGCAGACGAUAUGUUGUUGCCAUACAUGCUUCAGAAAUUUGUACCCACUGCAUUAAGCUACUUGUACAAUUGGAAAGCACUGCUGUUACGUUGUAAAAUAGGCGGAGUAAAAGUGAGACUGUAACGACUUUUAAUCAGUUAAAACUUAAAAGGGGUUUGAUUGAUUAGUCGAUA